UUGGCUAUUUCUAUUGCUUCUUUAUUAGAAGCCUGUCAGAGUCCUGUCUCUUUUGUGAUUACUUCCUGUCUUACUAUAAAUUGCUAGGAGGAGUUUACCCAGGUGACAGUUACUUCUCCCCACCACCCAUCAUUAGUGGCAAAAAUUCCCGUAAAAAUGUUUGAAUUCUUCCAUUUGGGGUCUUAUUCAGUAAUUGUUUAAUGAAGCUGUGUUGUCUUCUAGCUUCUUUCAAGAUAUGCAACUAGCAAGUUCAUCACUGAAUCCGUUUUCUGGGUGCUUCCUGUAAUGUUAGCUAUCUAUUUUGGGGGAUGUUUUAGUGAUUGUUACUCUUUCCCCCCUCUGCUGUUGCUGUCAGUGUAUUGUGUCCUCUGGCUGUGGAUUUCCUUAAGAUGAAGAAGAGGCGAGAUGUGCUUGAAUGGGCAUGGAACUUGGUCAGCCAUGGAUGUCAAAGCUGCCAUUUUCAGCCCUUCUGUGGGACCUGAGGGUCUGUGGAGGCACGUCCAGGGCCAUCACCAUAGGGUAAAAGUUCACUGGGACAUUAAGAACAGAAGAGGAGCUGUUUUUCUCUUUGAGACAUCAUGUCCAGCUGGCCCCAGUGGCUGCUCAUCCAGGCGCUGAAGGCCUGUAGCUGGGCUUGGCAUUCCUCCUGCCAGUUCCUGGGUGUCCUACUGAUUAUCUUGGUCCUGAAGGCAUUGGAGAUUUUGGCAAGUAUCCAAAAUUCACUGGAGGUGCUGCAGACUGCAUCUGCCACCUGCUGCUGGGAGAAGAUCACCUUUACCAGCACCCGUGUUCUGCUGUGAGUGAGACUGACAUUCUCUUGGAACUGGAAGCUCAGGCUCUCAGAAGUGAAGGAAAGAAGAAAGAGCUGGCCAACUUUAAAGUGUGUCCAUUUAAGAAAAGACACUGAGAAC
rnacentral:lncRNA from 1 species